GUGCUCGCUUUGGCAGCGCAGUUACUAAAUUGGAAUGAUCUAGAGAUGAUUAGCAUGGCCCUGUGCAAGGAUAACAUACAAAUUUGUGAAGUAUUCCCGGUUUUU